CACAGAACCAGGAAGUAAGGAGUCAGCCAGGACCAGGAGGCAGGUGAAUAUUAUCCCCUCUGAUGCUCCAGAUGUUUCAUCUGCUGUUAAUGAGAGCCCCUGAGAUCAGCUGUUGCCUCCCUUUGACGUGUCCCCACAAGUCAUACACAUGCACCCAUUUCUGACAUAAGUGGCUGUCUAAAUGCUGGAGAGGUUAAGAAUCCAGUCCAAGAAGCCUGAUAUUUCAAUGGUCUCAUUGUGAUGCUAAAAUCCGAGGAGAUUCCUGGAAGAUGUCUGGUCUUCAAUGCAUAUCAGAAGACCAAAGAUUCUGAUGUUAGUGAAGAAUAGCACAGGCAGCAAGAGAUACAAGCACCAGGCAGCUGGAAGGGAGCACAGACAUACUGCACCACUGCCUUCCUAGGACAUUUUUUAUAUCUGAAAUGUCAAUGGAAUUUGCUAUCCACUCUCAUGGAGGGUUUUCCCUGCUCAUUACACCAAGAAAGUCCACUGAAGACUCACUGAGAGGUGUGUUUCUCAGUUGGUUCCAGAUCCAAUGAGGUUGGCAGUAGGAAUCAACCCUCACAGCUACUUUUAUAUUAUUAUUCAUAUUCACUCUUGUGGUUGAAAAGUUCUUGUUAUGUGAUUAAACAGCUCUGGGAGUCAAGAUUUGUACCAUGGAGAUCUUGUUAGAAGAGGGUACGCAUCGAAUACCUUGCUUAGCCACAGCCAUGAUCAUAUGCACAUGUUGCUCCCCAUCUUGUUCUGACCUCAUAGAGCAUUCCUGCCAUGUAAGACAUAACUAGGGGCAGUAAAGAGAGUCUUUGACAAAAGGGAAAACCAAUGUGCCUUCUCUUUCCUCAUUUACAAGGAGAAAUGAGAACAUGUGGUAAUAAAUACUUAGCCUGCAAAUUUCCAUCCUUCCAAAAAAAAUUACAAGGCAUAAAACACUUUAUUGCUGGCCCACUUUAUUGCUGAAUUUGAAUAAUUUGGGAUCUAGAUGUUGGGUUCACAUAAGACAUCUCUUCUAAAUUAAAUAUUUUUUAAAAAGUGUCUUUGGAUUGUUUUCAGACCUUAGAAAUAUUUAUCUCUUGAUCCAAGUCUCUAUGUUCUUAGUUCUGUGUUCUUGUGUUCUUAGUUCUCUAAAAUGUUCUACACCAAAGUUGCAAAACUUCUCAGGUUGAAGAGGUGUUCUUUUCUGAACUCUUCACCAUCAUUACAAUAGC